UUUUAGAUUUUUAUAACAUAUAUAAGGAUAUAUAUGGAACUGUGUUAAGUAUAAAACUGAUUCUCAAAAUCAUAGUUUGAAAAGUUACUCCUUUUGUACUUCAAAAUCUAUUAUACGAUAGGGUGAUUUUACUAAAAGUGAUCUAAAAAAAAUGUAUCAAGUACCAAAAUUAGUUUUUAGCAUUUCAAAAUCAUUUUUUACGCUCCCAAAAGCAAUCCUAAUCAAGCCCUAAAUAUAUUCCACAAUGUGCUCAUUUGUUGAUUUAUGAAAUCGAGUGUAUCAAUAAACCGAAACCUAAAUUAUUAUUGUUGUUGCUAUUAAUAUUUUGUAUAAAUUCAAAAAAAAAAUUAUUAGAAAAGGAUAAGAAAUAUACAGAGAAGGAGUUUCAACUAAACAAAACGACAUUUAGAUAAGUUCAAAGAAAUCUCAUGUAGGCACUUGCCAAUAUUUUCAGGUGGACAAUUCCACCAAGUAUGACUAUCACAACUCAAAUCCAUAUUAAGAAGAAUUGGAAAAAAAAAAGAAUAAAAGUAAACCGACUACUCAAAAAAAAAUCAAACCACGACUGCAUAUGUUGAAACUUGAAAGACAAAAUUAAGAUAAUGAAUUAGAAAAGAGUAGGAGGCAUGGCCAGUUGCAAGGCACUGCGACGCAUCAUGGUCAUCGGGGUCUCCAUCUAUCCAUCCAAAUUUGACAUAAAUUUGUGAUAAUGAAUGUCCUUAUUCAAAGUUAAAUAAUCCAAAUGAUCUUCAAAUCCACCAAAUGCAAUCCUUUGGGGCCCCAUUGUUCACUGAAAAUCUCAUCCAAAAAGAAUCCCACGCCUUCUCUUUAGAUAAGAUCAUGUUACUUCAAUACGAGCUCUCUUUAAUACCCACUAAUUUCUACCGGUACAUGCAUAUACGAUUUGCCCAUGAUACUUUUUGCCCUCCAAGCAAUUUCUUUUUUUUCUUUUUAACACUGAUAUUUUAGCAUCACUAUAGUUUUCAUGACUCAUGAGACUUGAAAAUUUUUCUCUGCAAAAGAUAUAGGUGGAUGUAAAUUUCUUCCCAAAUAUUAUGAUUGUUACUGCUUCUUUUCUUUCUGCCAUUUUCUCCAAAAAAAAAAUUAAUUUAAUGGAUUAAUUCUUUUCUUUCUUCCAUUUUCUCAAAUAGUGCACGAGUCAAAAAUUUAGUUUAUAGGGUACGAUUUAAUAUAAGUGAUCACAAAUUCAACUCAUGAGAUAUUUUAAUUAAGUUUACCGGAAUAAAAAUUUAAAUAAUAAAAAUAAUUUAAAAAUUUUUUUAAUCAAGCGAGAGCGGUUGUGAGACUGUUUUCACUUACUUAAUGCUAACUGCGCUCUUAAUUAAAGUAAAAUAGAAUGCUUGUGCAAAUGGGUUACUUUUACCACUAUGAAUGAGUCAAUUAAAUAAAAAUUAUUCAAACUUUUUUUUUAAGAAUUUCAAACCAUUAAUAAGAUGAGUAAGAUAUUUUAUUUUAUUUUAUUUUUGUCCAAAAUAAAUCAUAUAAACGAGAUUUUUGUUAAAAAAUGACGUUAGUGUCUUUGAAAUCGACUUUUCAGAUUUUCUGCUUCACGUCCACAUGAUUACAUCAUGGGAGUGAAGUCAUUGUAUUCAGUGUAGGAUCAAAAAAACAUUUUUCAAGGUGCUGAUUGCAGACUACAGGUACUAAGGGCGCUACGUGGAUGGUAAGUACUUGGCCACGUCACAAUCCUUGAAUGCUUUACUGGUUUCUGCCCGUGAAGGUGGCUCUAACAAUUUAACAGCUCACGUACGGUUGAGCUCAUUUGAUAUGUCAAUAAUAUUUUUCGGAUGAAUAAUACUAUACAAUCAAUGUGUCAAAAAUAGUAUACAAUUUAUAAAAAAAGUUUAAAAAAUAUAUCUUGUAGUUUUUUUUUAGUUAUUUUAAUGGAUUAAUACUAUUUUUUGUGUGGAAAUACAUUUUUUUUGUAUUUCACGUAACAUAUAUUAUGGUCAUACUUAUCAAAUAUCGUACUAAUAAAUAUAGGACGAUCCAUUAAUAUAAUGGUGAUUACAUACCAAAUAAGCCUAUCAAAAUAUUUUUGAAUUUUUUGUUAUUGGUCAUUGUAAUUCAAUUUUAUUAGAAAAUAUGGAAAAGAUUAUUACAGUCUACCAAAUGUGAGAAUAAAAUAUAAUUAUAUUUACUCUUAACCCUAUUUUAUAUAUGUGUGCGUGCGCCACGCGUGUACGUGCAAGUGUUUGAAUUUUGGUCUCCUUCUAGACAUGUGUGCCCUAGUUGCAGAGAAUCAAGCAACUCAAACAAGCAAUUUUCUAAAGUAAUGAGUGACUCUACAAAUUUCUUUUAUCGUUUUUAUUUGGCAAUAAUAUUCAUUGGAUAACGCAAAGUAAGGUUAAGAAUCUCAAAGAUAAUACAAAAUAAGAUUUAUUCUAAUGAUUGUGCCCACCUGUAAUGCCAAAGUAAAAGAAGUUCUAAACCCAAUCCAUGAAAAAGAACUAAAGUACUUUUAUAUUCGCUCAUAUCAAAGUUUUUUUUUUUUUUUAAUUUUCUUUCUUUCUUUCUUUCGACAAUAUCAUGGUCGAAGAAACAAUUAAUUAUAUGUUUAUAUUCGUGUAACAAUGUAAUCGUAUUGAUGUAACGUUCUCAUGUAACUAUAUCGAUUAUGUUUGGUAUAAUGAUAAUUUUGGAUAAGGAAACUACUCAUUUGUUGGGUGAUAAGUUUUUUUUUUUUUUCCACAUGUAUAGUUAAGAGGUAUAAAUUCCUUCGUCUACUAUUCAAUUGGACAAUUUUUUUCAUCUAAUUAUUUAGAAGUAAAUUCAGUUUUUAUGGAGUUUAAAUAUUUAAGAUUUCACGUUACAUAUUUAUGAGAAAUUAUUUUUACACCACAUUUAUUUUGUUAUAUGUAAAUCUAAUUAUCUCAAAAUUUUGACAUGUUCUUUACAUCACUUUUGUUUUUAAAUUUAUAUCAACAAAUCACUUUAACACUAAAAAAUGACCACCUUAUCUCUAAGU
rnacentral:lncRNA from 1 species